CUACUCGUCAACAUACAUUUGUCGAGACAGACAGCGUCCGCUACGUUUAUCACCCUCUGGACAACAUUUACCUUGUGUUGGUGACAACGAAAAACUCGAACAUUCUCGAGGACUUGGAAACUUUACGCCUUUUCGUACGAGUCAUUCCAGAGUAUUGCCGCUCAAAUGAGGAGAAAGAGAUUCUUGCUCACGAUUUUGAUCUGAUUUUUGCAUUCGAUGAGGUCGUCACUCUCGGAUACCGCGAGAGCGUCAAUCUUGCUCAAAUCAGAACUUUCACAGAGAUGGAUUCUCAUGAGGAAAGAGUUUUUAUGCAGAUCAAGGAAGCUCAAGAGAAAGCUGCCAAGCAGGCAAUGGCUGAAAAGGCCAAGGAACUCAAGAGAGCUCAGAAGGAGGCUUUGAGCAGAGGGCUCAAGCCAAGUUAUCAAUCAAGCACAGGAAUCUCUUCAUCAUCCACUCCAAAUGCAGCUGCAGUUUCUGAGCCAGCGGCUCCACGACCAUCGGCACCGAAGGGACCAAUUGGAGGUGGAAAGGCACUGAAGUUGGGAGGAAAAACGAAUAAUGAAGAUGAUUUCUUGGAUACAUUGAGACAACAAGGUCAAAGCAUUGCACCAGUACAGAAAGCUAGUCUUUCAGG
rnacentral:sRNA from 1 species